rnacentral:rRNA from 1 species
AAUGAACGCUGGCGGCAGGCCUAACACAUGCAAGUCGAGCGGAGCGGCGGACGGGUGAGUAAUGCCUAGGAAUCUGCCUGGUCGUGGGGGCUAACGUCCGGAAACGGGCGCUAAUCCCGCAUACUAUCAGAUGAGCCUAGGGCGGAUUAGCUAGUUGGUGGGGUAAAGGCCUACCAAGGCGACGAUCCGUAACUGGUCUGAGAGGAUGAUCAGUAACACGUGAACUGAGACAUGGUCCAGACUCCUACGGGAGGAAGCAGUGGGGAAUAUUGGGCAAUGGGCGAAAGCCGGAUGCAGCCAUGCCGCGUGUGUGAAGAAGGUCUUCGGAUUGUAAAGCACUUUAAGUUGGGAGGCGUUACCAACAGAAUAAGCACCGGCUAACUUCGUGCCAGCAGCCGCGGUAAUAC